UUAGAGUUUCAUUUUGGCUCAGGAUGAACGCUAGCGGGAGGCUUAACACAUGCAAGUCGAGGGGUAACAGAGGUAGCAAUACUUGCUGACGACCGGCGUACGGGUGAGUAACGCGUAUGCAACCUGCCCUAUACAGGAGGAUAGCCCGAAGAAAUUCGGAUUAAUACUCCAUGCAGCAUAUUUUUCGCAUGAUAAAUAUGUUAAAGAUUUAUCGGUAUAGGAUGGGCAUGCGUCCCAUUAGUUAGUUGGUGAGGUAAUGGCUCACCAAGGCUUCGAUGGGUAUGGGGUCUAAAAGGAUGGUCCCACACACUGGCACUGAGACACGGGCCAGACUCCUACGGGAGGCAGCAGUGAGGAAUAUUGGUCAAUGGGCGAGAGCCUGAACCAGCCAUCCCGCGUGCAGGAUGACAGUCCUAGUGAUUGUAAACUGCUUUUCUAUAAGAUGAAUAAGGACUACGUGUAGUUCGAUGACCGUAUUAUAGGAAUAAGCAUCGGCUAACUCCGUGCCAGCAGCCGCGGUAAUACGGAGGAUGCAAGCGUUAUCCGGAUUUAUUAGGUUUAAAGGGUGCGUAGGUGGGCGUUUAAGUCAGUGGUUAAAGCCAAUAGCUUAACUAUUGUAUGCCAUUGAAACUGGAUGUCUUGAAUAGGGUAGAGGUAGGCGGAAUGUGUUGUGUAGCGGUGAAAUGCUUAGAUAUAACACAGAACACCGAUUGCGAAGGCAGCUUACUAUGCCUUUAUUGACACUGAUGCACGAAAGCGUGGGGAUCAAACAGGAUUAGAUACCCUGGUAGUCCACGCUGU
rnacentral:rRNA from 1 species